AACGAACGCUGGCGGCAGGCUUAACACAUGCAAGUCGAACGGGUGUAGCAAUACAUCAGUGGCAGACGGGUGAGUAACACGUGGGAACCUUCCUAGGGGUACGGAACAACUCAGGGAAACUUGAGCUAAUACCGUAUACGUCCGUGAGGAGAAAGAUUUAUCGCCCUUAGACGGGCCCGCGUCGGAUUAGCUAGUUGGUGGGGUAACGGCCUACCAAGGCGACGAUCCGUAGCUGAUCUUAGAGGAUGAUCAGCCACACUGGGACUGAGACACGGCCCAGACUCCUACGGGAGGCGGCAGUGGGGAAUCUUGGACAAUGGGCGCAAGCCUGACCCAGCCAUGCCGCGUGAGUGAAGAAGGUCUUCGGAUUGUAAAGCUCUUUUGCCAGGGACGAUAAUGACGGUACCUGGAGAAUAAGCCCCGGCAAACUUCGUGCCAGCCGCCGCAGUAA
rnacentral:rRNA from 1 species